rnacentral:rRNA from 1 species
UACAGAGGGUGCGAGCGUUGUCCGGAAUCACUGGGCGUAAAGGGCGCGUAGGCGGCUUGAUAAGGUUGCGGUGAAAGCCCGGGGCUCAACCCCGGGUCGGCCGUGGCAACUGUCGAGCUGGAGCACUGUAGAGGCAGGUGGAAUUCCGGGUGUAGCGGUGGAAUGCGCAGAUAUCAGGAGGAACACCAAUUGCGAAGGCAGCUCGCUGGGACGUUACUGACGCUGAGACGCGAAAGCGUGGGGAGCAAACAGG